AAGACUGGGAUAACUCCGGGAAACCGGAGCUAAUACCGGAUAGUUCCUUGAACCGCAUGGUUCAAGGAUGAAAGACGGUUUCGGCUGUCACUUACAGAUGGACCCGCGGCGCAUUAGCUAGUUGGUGGGGUAAUGGCUCACCAAGGCGACGAUGCGUAGCCGACCUGAGAGGGUGAUCGGCCACACUGGGACUGAGACACGGCCCAGACUCCUACGGGAGGCAGCAGUAGGGAAUCUUCCGCAAUGGACGAAAGUCUGACGGAGCAACGCCGCGUGAGUGAUGAAGGUUUUCGGAUCGUAAAGCUCUGUUGUUAGGGAAGAACAAGUGCGAGAGUAACUGCUCGCACCUUGACGGUACCUAACCAGAAAGCCACGGCUAACUACGUGCCAGCAGCCGCGGUAAUACGUAGGUGGCAAGCGUUGUCCGGAAUUAUUGGGCGUAAAGGGCUCGCAGGCGGUUUCUUAAGUCUGAUGUGAAAGCCCCCGGCUCAACCGGGGAGGGUCAUUGGAAACUGGGAAACUUGAGUGCAGAAGAGGAGAGUGGAAUUCCACGUGUAGCGGUGAAAUGCGUAGAGAUGUGGAGGAACACCA
rnacentral:rRNA from 1 species